rnacentral:rRNA from 1 species
GUCCACGCCCUAAACGAUGUCUACUAGUUGUCGGGUCUUAAUUGACUUGGUAACGCAGCUAACGCGUGAAGUAGACCGCCUGGGGAGUACGGUCGCAAGAUUAAAACUCAAAGGAAUUGACGGGGACCCCGCACAAGCGGUGGAUGAUGUGGAUUAAUUCGAUGCAACGCGAAAACCUUACCUACCCUUGACAUGGAUGGAAUCCCGGAGAGAUUUGGGAGUGCCCGAAAGGGAACCAUUACACAGGUGCUGCAUGGCUGUCGU